rnacentral:rRNA from 1 species
UACGUAGGGCGCAAGCGUUAUCCGGAAUUAUUGGGCGUAAAGAGCUCGUAGGCGGUUUGUCGCGUCUGCCGUGAAAGUCCGGGGCUCAACUCCGGAUCUGCGGUGGGUACGGGCAGACUAGAGUGAUGUAGGGGAGACUGGAAUUCCUGAUGUAGCGGUGAAAUGACGCAGAUAUCAGGAGGAACACCGGUGGCGAAGGCGGGUCUCUGGGUAGUAACUGACGCUGAGGAACGAAAGCGUGGGUAGCGAACAGG